GACGAACGCUGGCGGCGUGCUUAACACAUGCAAGUCGAACGGAAAGGCCUCUUUCGGGGGGUACUCGAGUGGCGAACGGGUGAGUAACACGUGAGUAACCUGCCCUUGACUUUGGGAUAACUUCAGGAAACUGGGGCUAAUACCGGAUAGGAGCUCCUGCUGCAUGGUGGGGGUUGGAAAGUUUCGGCGGUUGGGGAUGGACUCGCGGCUUAUCAGCUUGUUGGUGGGGUAGUGGCUUACCAAGGCGUUGACGGGUAGCCGGCCUGAGAGGGUGACCGGCCACAUUGGGACUGAGAUACGGCCCAGACUCCGACGGGAGGCAGCAGUGGGGAAUAUUGCACAAUGGGUGGAAGCCGGAUGCAGCAACGCCGUGUGCGGGAUGACGGCCUUCGGGUUGGAAACCGCUUUCGCUCAUGACGAAGCUUUGUGUGACGGUAGUGGGUAAAGAAGCACCGGCUAACUACGUG
rnacentral:rRNA from 1 species